rnacentral:rRNA from 1 species
AUUGAACGCUGGCGGCAGGCUUAACACAUGCAAGUCGAACGAGUGGCGGACGGGUGAGUAAUGCUUGGGAAACUGGCUGAUGGAGGGGGAUAACGACGGGAAACGGUCGCUAAUACCGCGUACCAUAGGAUGAGCCCAAGUGGGAUUAGUUAGUUGGUGGGGUAAAGGCUUACCAAGGCGACGAUCUCUAGCUGGUCUGAGAGGAUGACCAGCCACACCGGAACUGAGACACGGCCCGGACUCCUACGGGAGGCAGCAGUGGGGAAUUUUGCGCAAUGGGGGCAACCUGACGCAGCCAUGCCGCGUGGAUGAAGAAGGCCUUCGGGUUGUAAAGUACUUUCGGUGACGAGGCGUUAAUCACAGAAGAAGCACCGGCUAACUCCGUGCCAGCAGCCGCGGUAAUUC